rnacentral:rRNA from 1 species
UACAGAGGUCCCAAGCGUUGUUCGGAUUUAUUGGGCGUAAAGGGUGCGUAGGCGGCAGUGUAAGUUGGACGUGAAAUCCUGGGGCUCAACCUCAGAAUUGCGUUCAAUACUGCAUUGCCAGGGCGCUGUAGAGGAGAUUGGAAUUUACGGUGUAGCAGUGAAAUGCGUAGAUAUCGUAAGGAAGACCAGUGGCGAAGGCGAGUCUCUGGACAGUUGCUGACGCUGAGGCACGAAGGCCAGGGGAGCAAACGGG